rnacentral:rRNA from 1 species
ACGGCUCAGUAACACGUGGACAAUCUGACUUAGGGAUGUGGAUACCUCGGGAAACUGAGGACAAACCGCCAAUAGGCGUCAAGCACUGGAAUGUCUGACGCCGAAAUAUGAAGGCGUGUAUUCGGCUCAAUGCCCUAAGAGGAGUCUGCGGCGGAUUAGCCUGACGGUAGGGUAACGGCCUACCGUAGCUACGAUCUGUACCGGCAUUGGGAGAUGGAGCCGGGAGAUGGACACUGAGACAAAGGUCCAGGUUCUACGGAGCGCAGCAGUCGCGAAACCUUCGCAAUGCGCGCAAGCGUGACGAGGGGACCCCAAGUGCACAUGUACAACAUGUGCUUUUACGGAGUGUAGGUAGCUCCGGGAAUAAGGGCUGGGUAAGACUGGUGCCAGCCUCCGCGGUAACACCAGCAGCUCAAGUGGUGAUCGCGUUUACUGGGUUUAAGGCGUGCGUAGUCGGUUCGGCAAGUCUUCUGUGAAAUCCUGCGGCUCAACCGUAGGGAUUGCAGAAAAUACUACCGGGCUUGAGGCCGGGGUAGGUGUGGGGUAUUCUUGGGGUAGCGGUGAAAUGCUAUAAUCCCUGGAGGACCACCCGUAGCGAAGGCGCCACACUGGAACGGGCCUGACGAUGAGGUACGAGAGCUAGGGGAGCAAACAGGAUUAGAUACCCUGGUAGUCCUAGCCGUAAACGAUGUGGGUUUAGUGUCCCCUAAACCUCGUGUUUGGGGGGUGCUGAAGGGAAACCGUUAAACCCACCACCUGGGGAGUACGGUCGCAAGGCUGAAACUUAAAGGAAUUGGCGGGGGAG